rnacentral:lncRNA from 1 species
CGGCUCUAGGGCCGGCUGCACGGCGCAGCGUCUCCGAGGUUGGGGCGUCCCUAACUUCCCUCUUCCAUUAGCCCUGCCUGUUUGGGGCUUUUAGGGGCGAGGAAGCCUCACGUGGCCUUGGGAACAACCUUCGCCCCGCCGGGCCCCAGUCUGGGAAAGGCGGGUCCUUUCUGACCCUUUAGCACCCUGUGGGCUGGGCUGGGCAAGUUCCCCAGCUGCGCUUAUGCGAUCUGGAGAGGGUACGUGCCACUUUCCCUGCGCUCGUCGGGCAGUUUUGCGGCCCAAGGUCUGAACGAACCAGUUCACAUCAACACCGCUAGCCUCUGUCGCCAGGUUCGGCCACUCGUCUGUAGCUGCUGGGAUGAGGCACCCUGGGCCAUGCCCCUGCCUAUACGCAGCUCUGCUUCUUUGCCAUUCUGCAGUGGUCUUCACGGGUCCCCUAAUCCCUCAGUGAUCAGUGCCCCUCCAUCUCGGCUGUUUAACCUAGAUCCAUUUGCUGCAGCCCAGGACUUUCGCUCCUUUGCCGUUCUCUCCAUUGGCUGGAGCCACCACUAGAAUGUGAUUCAGACGGGGCUGAAACUAGAUGUAUCCCUGAGUUCCCGCGAAGUUCCCAUUUCUGGGGGGGGGAGUCAGUUGACAUUGUGAAGUAGGCAAAACUAUGCCUUGGGUGACAUUGUGAAGUUGGCAAAGGGUGCCCUAGGUGACAUUGUGAAGUAGGCAAAAUGCAUUUUAUUUCUUCCAUAAGCAUUUGUUGAGCCCAUCUUAUGUGCUAGGUGCCCGGGAUAUACAAUCAAGAGCAUGUCCUACCAGACAAGAAGGGACAAAGCCCUAUAAAUAAACGGGUGCUCGGAAUUUGCCAUUAGUACUGUAACAGAGCUAUGGUUAAGGUACAGUAUGGGAACCCAGGACCGGGACAAGCCACUACAGAGUGGGGUGGGGAGGCGCUAGGUACCCCACUCUCUUCUCUUGGUCUUUCUUGCAAGCUUAACUGAGAUGUCAAGGGGAGAUGGGAAGGGAGGACAAGAAGCAGCUUUCUUAGAGAGGGAGAUACAUUUACAGUUGUUAGAAUAGAUGUAGAACAAUUACACCACGUCUCUGUGCAAAUUGUUGAACACAAGUCCUAAGCCAUCAUUUUGUUUGGUGACAGCACCGAUUACAGUACCUGGAUGAUAAUGUCACUUAACGAAUGAAGGAACUGAGGACAUUGCAAAAAGUGCACAUUUUUCUUCAAGUUAGAAAAUUAAAGUGAAGGCAAAUUAUGAGGAUUCUGGCUGCGCCACGUUGGGAAGAGAGCUACGUAGGACAUUCAAAGAAGUUGUGCCACCCCAGAUAUUUGAGUCAUGCUACCCUCUACCACCUUCUUUCAUCUUACUAAUCCUUCCAAUGCAAGGAGCCAAGUAUUUGGAUGUGAUCAUGUAUGUAAAAAUACCUGGUGGGAGCUAUGAGACAUGCAUUCAUCUAUUAGGUAGUCAUCAAAUAUUUGUUGACUUCCAUGUUCCAGACAUAGAGCAAUAAGCAAGGUGGACAAAAUCUCUGUUCUCACGAAGCUUGCACUCUAGUGGGGGAAGCAAAUUAUGUAAAUAAAUUAAUUCAAUCAGGGUUUCUCAACUUCAGCACUGUGACAUUUUGGGCCUUACAAUUCUUUGUUGUUGGGGGUUGUCCUAUGUAUCCCCUGGCCAGUAUCCACUAAGUGCCAGUAUCAUCCCUCCUGCUAAGUUGUAACGAUCUCAAUGACUCCAGGCUAAUUGCCAAAUGCUCCCCUAAGGGGCAAAAUUGCCCUCAGUUGAGAAUCACCGGAUUGGAUGAUGAUACAUCUUACCUUCUUUAAAUUGGAGGCGGGGCAGGGGGGUUACUUCUCAGGGAGGGAUAUGAGCAGCCAAACUCACACCUAACUGAGAAGAGAAGGACCACAGAAGAUGUUGACUAUGAAAGGAAGGUCUUUAUCACUUUUCUGGCAGACAUGUGUGGUUUGGGGCGUCUCACCAGCCAUUACCUUAUUCCUGGUGCUACUUUUUCCUGAAUCUGGGCUCCACUGGUUUAGGAGUUUCAGUGAGCAAGAGGGAGGCAUGUUUCCAUCCAGAGACACAAUAAUAGUUUCAUUGAGCUGGGAUUUGAAAUUACUGCUUGGUCUUCACUGGGCUUCUCUGGAAAAAAAUAAAAAGGACACGAAUGGGAUUAUUGUGUUGGUUAGAGUGGUUGAGCCUGACAAUGAAAUGGAAAUACAGCUACAAAGUAGUAGGAGGGAGCAGUAGAAGAAGCUCAGGGGAGUUCCUACUGAAAUGAUUAAUGAAUGUGCUGUCACCUCACCUAGGCAGCACCACCAGGGACUAAGGCUCCUCACCUCACCAGGCAAACAACCCCAGCUGGCUGAGAUACUGGCCCCAGUCUAUAGCUGGGUGACCAGUUACAGAAACAGAGAUGGUGACCUCUGUGUUUCUUUCCUUGCUGUAACAUAUAUAUGAUGGCUUCAAAAUUGUACAGUUCCAGAAUGCAAUGCACACAUGUAAAUUUAUUUCUUCUCAUAACUAACUUAGCAUUCAAACACUUAUCCACUGACAGUAGAGCUUUUCACAGGUCAAAUUUUGGGUUAUUCAGUCUUAUUUGGGCUAAGUCCUUACCAUCCUUUGCCUUCUCUGUAUCCUUCCCCAUUUCCUGGACAUUGAUCUCAGUUUCAGGCGCCUUACAUAUUGACCUGAUAUUGGAUAAGAGGCAUCUACUCUGUGAGUCACCCUCUGGGCUUAGUGGUCUCCACCGAGAUGUGGUUUAUCUUUUCUGAUCCUUUAUCUGUGGUUCUUGGCUUUGAGUCUAGAUUCUUACACAUUCUGUGUGUAUUAGUUAGGGUAAUGCUAGCUAUUGUGACAAAUAAACUCCAAAAGUUCAAUGGGUUAAUACAACAGAAGUUUAUGUGUGGCUCACAUCCCAGUUCAGUGUGGGAGUUCUUAAUUUGUAUGUGGCUUCCUUUCAUUUAGAAAUUUAGAAACCCAGAGGUGCCGGGUGGUUCAGUCAGUUAAGCACCCGACUCUUGAUUUCGGCUCAGGUCAUGAUGUCACUCACGGUCAUGGGAUUGAGUCCUGCGCCGGGCUCCGCGCUGAGUGCGGAGUCUGCCUAAGAUUCUCUCUCUCCCUCUGUCUCUCCCCCUGGUCUCACUCUCACUCUCUCUCUCAAAAAAAAGAAAAAGGAAAAAGAAAUUUAGAAACCCAGCUUCCUUUCAUCUUGUGGUUCCACAUUCCCUGAGGCAGAGGCUCCCAAACUUUGUUGGUUCAUAGUGUCCUUCGGGUCUCAGCAAUAUAUUCUUGGGGCUGCAGACCAAAAGAAAUAUCUAAUAGUUCCUUUUAUUCAGUGGUUAGUGCUAAACAACUUAAUAAUAGUAGUUUUCUCAGUGUCCUGGGACAGUGGUAUGCUUUCUUCAAAAAUUAAUAAUAUCCCAAAUACACUCUUCAGUUCAUUAUGGUGUGAUCUACUGAUAUUACUAUUUCCUGUGAAAAUUUAAUAUAUUCUAGGCACGUCUUGUGAACUCAUUAUGGUUGUCAAACUAGAGGCAGAGAUAAUCACCCUAGGACCUUGGAGUCUUUUCUUCCAACCAGAAGAAGGGGAAAGACUAUAGUGUAGCCCUGCUUUUUAAUCACUUUUGCUCGUAUUCCACUGACAGUCUCUAGACAUAUCGCCAUACCUAUAUGCCAGAGAGGCUGGGAAAUGCAGCAGUUUGUAGCUGGAACAUCACCCCCCAGUAGGGAAACAUGAUUUUUUGUGGGCAGCUAGCUGUUUCUGAUACUAUUCGGCAACCUCUCCAUCCAGAUUUGGAUUCUACUGGGUCCUUUGGCUCAUUCUCAAGUGUGUCUGAUCUCUGGGGUGUGGCAGUAGGGACUCAAAGAUACUCUAGUGUGUGUCGAUUAGUGAGCCUAUCUGGGGGUACAUCUCCCCAGACACUUCCCCCAGUUGUUGCUACUCUACGAAUCAGGUGCCGUGAGGGGCACACAACUUCAUUCUAAGUUUUGCAAGUUCGUGAACUAUGCUCUGGAAAUUUUAAACAUACUUUCCUCUGGUAAUUCGAGACCUAUCUUGGGUUUCUGUUACCAAAUAUUUCCACACGCAGCCCCACCCAGCAAGUAGGUGACUCACCCCCCCAAAGGAAGGGUGGUACUGGCCUUUGCAUCAACCCACUACACAUUUCUCUUAUCAACUCUUCAAACUUUUUACUUCUCUGGAUAAAACUAAUUCAACAUUAUUAUAAUUCUUAUUCCAAUUUAUCUUUUUAAUGUAUUUUUUAAAUUUUAUUUUAUUUUUGAGACAGAGAGAGAGAGACCGAGCAUGAGUGGGGGAGGGACAGAGAGAGAGAGGGAGACACAGAAUCCGAAGCAGACUUCAGGCUCCGAGCUGUCAGCACAGAGCCUGACCUGGGGCUCAAACUGAUAAACUGCAAGAUCAUGACCUGAGCCGAAGUCGGACGCUUAACCAACUUAGCCACCCAGGUGCCCCCCAAUUUAUUGUUCUUAAAUAUGCUUUAUGCCCUUUUAUUUAAAUCUAUGUCUUUCAAGGUUCCAAACCAAGGUUUUGAAUAUUUUAAAAUAUUUUCCUCUCCCAGAAGAAAGGUUACAGCUUUGAAGACUAUGGUCUUUGUCUACUCAAGACCUCAAAAAACCCACAAAUUUUACGCUUUGAUCUUUCAGUAUUUUCAUUUUUCCUCCCUUGAGCAAUGAGCCUUGGACUCUUGGAAUAAAUAGAGUGAAGGAAGCUUUACAAGAUUAAACAGUUUCUCAGAAGACAAAUGUGUAGGGUCAUGUCUUAGACUGCUAUCCAACUAUUCUGUAUGUUUACUUCUGUAACUAAUUCUUCUCGUCUUUUCUAUUCUUUCCCUCCAUUAUUGUGUGUAGGCCGUUUUGGUAGUUAAACUUAUCAUUUGGCUUACAGGUGUCAGAAGAUAGAGCUGAGAUUGCUACAGAACCGAAGAAAGGAUGGACAUGCCUCAGAAAUCUUGGACUUGGGUUUGAUGCUUGUGGAGCUAGUUUUGACUACUUCCCACCCAGUACUGUGAUGUGUGCCUGUCCUUUCUGCUACUCACUGACCUGCCCUUUCUAUAAGCUGCAACCCAUUACACUUUCCAGGCUUCACGUGUCUUGCAAGUUGCACACACAAAAGAGGGGCUGCCCUUGGUCAAUGAUUGUAGGGUAAUCAGCGUGUCUUGGCUUUAGGGUCAUGGCAUACAGGUGAGAGGUGUAUCAGCAAUGGUUUACUGCAGCCAGAGAUGUAGCACUUAAGAAAGAAGUUUCUGGGGGCGCCUGGGUGGCGCAGUCGGUUAAGCGUCCGACUUCAGCCAGGUCACGAUCUCGCGGUCCGUGAGUUCGAGCCCCGCGUCAGGCUCUGGGCUGACGGCUCAGAGCCUGGAGCCUGUUUCAGAUUCUGUGUCUCCCUCUCUCUCUGCCCCUCCCCCGUUCAUGCUCUGUCUCUCUCUGUCCCAAAAAUAAAUAAACGUUGGAAAAAAAAAAAAAAGAAAGAAAGAAGUUUCUGUACAAGUUGAAUACUGACACAGUAGUUUGUGAUUACUCUUUUUCCUACAGCUGACACACACGAACUUUUUACCCUACCGAUAGGCAUCUUUAUCCCCAUCUGUCCCUCCAAAGAGGCUGAAAAAGUCACUGCCAAAUACUUUUAGGGUAGAGAGGAUUUUCUGCAUUGUUUAAGGAUGUAAUCUGGUGCCAGACAGCCCUUUUUUUUCAAAAUGUUCUAAAUCUCUUUUUCUAGCUCUUGCCGAAAUUCAGUGGCUACAUCUUGGAGUACCUACCACUGGCUUCCUCUAUUUUUUUCUCUACUGUUAAUAAUUUAGCAUCACCUCUUCAUUCUAUGGACAGAAGUACAAAUGCCAAAUAAAAACAACUGCAAAUUAAACCUUUCCUUAGUGGGGCUUAACCUUGACUAUAGAUGUGAAAUAUUUCGGUGAUGAAUGUCCCUGCUUUUCUUUCAGGUUAUAAGAAAGGACUUAAACCUGAAUGGUACAUAACAAUGAAUAAAUGAAAAAUACUUGAUAAAUAUUUGAUAAGGAUGGCUGCUCCUGAUGUUUUAAAACAAAGACAGUAAGAAGAAACUUUUAGGCAGUUAAUUCUUGCAAACUGUCUAGAAGUCAACACUGUUAACCCGGGUCAAAACUCCAGAAAAUGUUACUAGGAAAAGAUCCUAUUUUAGCCUCGUUGCGUAAACUAGAUGUGCCUCUCCUGGACACAGGAAAUGGAGUGUACAUUGUGCAUAUUAAUUUUCCAGACAACUGUAGGCUGAGAAGGGAGUCCUGAGGGAGUGGUGUCAAAGGAAAUUUGAAUACUCUCUCUGUUGAGAAACUGUCUGCUGUUCAUUGGCUUCUGUUAAAUCAUAAAAAUUCAACUGAGUACAUUUAAAGAUCAAAUUGGCUUUAUUCAACAAUUCAUGAAUCGAGCAACACCCCAUCUAGCAAAUAGAAAAGACCUCCACUGAGCUGUAGAAAAGGAAAGGUUUUUAAAGGCAGAAAGGGGGUGGAAAAAGGAAAUCCUUCCUGCAUAGAGUACAGUUUCAGGAAAGGUCCCCCUCCUAAGGGGAGCAGAAGUGGAGACUACCUCACUGGUAUUGAUCAGGUAAUUCCAGGUUGACUGGUUAAAAAUCACCAUCUCUGGAGAGGUAGAAAGUGCUGUUAUGUUAGACAUUAAGUCAUGGUUUACCCAUGUGGGGCUUAGCACAAGUGACUCUAAUUUGGGGCUGUUCUCUCUCUCUCUCUCUCUCUCUCUCUCUCACACACUUCCUAAUUGGUUUACAUCUUCAGAAUCCCCUUUUCCACGCUACCACCAAUACCUAAACUCUGGGCACCCCUGCCCUGCCCUCUCUCGGCAGCCAGCAGAUCCUUCCCUUAAAACUGAUUCUCUCAAGCCUCAAUCCAUCAGUCUUACUGCCCUGGAGGCUAGAACACAUUUCAGGCUCAUCAAAGCUUUCUCUCAACAAAGGUGGUUCUCCCCUUAGGGGUAAUUGCAUACCACUUCUAAGAAAAGAGUAGGUUCUGAAUUGGUCCCAAAGCAAAAACAAAACCAAACAAAACUGUGAACUUGCCAGUGGGGGGUUGUGUGUGGGAAAUGUUACCUACAAAACAUGAAACAUCAGAUUAACUUUGCCACAGGAGAAUCAUUCUACAUACAUACUUUUUGAGAGGAAAGGUUGUGGUCAUGAAAUUUUAUACUGGGUUAAUUUUAGUUCAUGUAUUAAGGUAACAGAUAUUAAAGGACUCAGAAAAUAGAACUUCUCUGAAUCAUUUUUGAAAAAAUUACUUUGAUAGUCUUCGACUGAUAGAGUUGACUAUUUUCGACUCAGAAAAUAAAACUUCUCUGAAUCAUUUUUGAAAAAAUUACUUUGAUAGUCUUCGACUGACUGACACGUCAAAAUUCAGGCCAGAAGAAUGGGGAAGACAUAAUGUAAAAAUUGAGAGGGGGAUCUUUCACUCAGUUUGGUAAUUCAAGACCCCAAAUUCAGGGAUCAGGUUCGUGGUGUUCUCAGCUGGGCUCCACAAGCUAGGGGCAGGGUGGCCUCAGGGCUUCCUUCGCCAAGACUGUGUUUUCUUUCUGCUUCCUCUUCUUGUCCUGUGACACAAGGUGCAUUUCUCAAGCUGCAUACUUCAUAGCACAGGGCAGAUUACUUCCUGGCUGUGGUUGAUAACCAUUUAAAGCACAAGUCGAUGCUUUUCUGGUCAGCACUUGCUACCAAGCAACUUGGUUGGAACGCUAGGUCAACAAGAAUUACCUAACAGAAGCAACGUUGCAUAAAAACCAUAAUGGCCAUUUUCAUUGCCAAAUAAAUUGAGCAAUGAUUUUCUACAUCCUUAUAACUCCUCUUGAAUAACGAGUCAUGCUUUUAAAAAUUGGCUCUGAAAAGCAAAUGACUCAGGGGCAAUCUAUUAACAGUCCCAGAGCCCAUCCUCUUACUGUUUAUCUUCUAGGGAAUGAUGUUAUUAACUAGGCUUUGGUAGUGUGGGAUCUUUGGCUGAGCUAAACUAGAAUUCAUGUUUGAAUGUGUCUGAUGCAUGCAUGAGCCCAUAUGUAGUCACCUACCUGAGGUGGUUUGUACUGAAGAAGGAUACUGGACAACUAGGUUUGUGUGUGGGCUCUUGGGGAAAAGCAGAACGGGUGGGGAAAAGGAAGAAGGGAGGGAGAGAAAAGGAUGAUUUCUUGCCAUAACUUGCCUGCCUUGUUAACUUGAUUUGAGCUCUCAAGAGAAAGGGGCUUUAGGCAGAGGCAGAAAAAGCAAAUGUCAAGGAGUUUGUGAGACUUGGGGCCAUUAGAUCAUUGUGCCAGAUGACAGCAGGGGCUGUGCAGUGGGGAAGAGAAUACUUUCCUUGUUCGCAUGGCUUCCACUAAGUAUAAACUGCAGGGAGGACCAAAUUGCAUUGACCUUGUUGAGAUAAAAUGCAUCCUAUGGUCAAGCCCCACCAUGAUACCAUGAGCAGAGCCCCAAAACUAAAUAGUUUAAUAUAAGGGACAUGCUUGUGCAAGGUUAAUGAAAUGGGAAUGUGGCUGGAAGAAGGAUGGGACUUAAUUGACAAUUGUACCAAACCUGAAUUUGUCUCACUGCAUGCAUAAGUUGUUACAUAUUCAAAUGGAUACAAAUUUUAAAUGGGGUGGAGAAGGGGAAGCCGGCUAAGCAAAGGAAAGAAUUACAAGAGUGUGUUGUAAUGCAUGCUUCUGUGUUGCAGGAUUUGAGGUGAUUUUUCCCCAUGUCCGUAUUUCCCAAAAUUUUUUAUGACAAGAACAUAGUAGUUUUGUCAUCUAAAAAUUUUAUUUUUAUUUUAAAAUAUCCACAGGAAAUUUCAUUUUAUAUAAAAAAGUGAAGAUAUUUGACGGUGUCCUGACUGAACAAAUCUUCUAAAUAGACUGUAAGUAGAAUCAGGAGUUUUAAAUUGGCUAUUGUAUACUUUGAAACAUAAGCAUGUUUGCUGGCUUUGUUGUUGUUGUUUUCAAGCCCACACCCAACGUGGGGCUUGAACUCACAACCCUGAGAUUAAGAGAUGCACGCUCUACCAACUGAGCCAGCCAAGCACCUGCCCUAAAGUAUAUAUUCGAUCAAGCUUUUUCACUUUGAAUGAACAUAUUAACAGUUUAAGUCAUGUUAUUUUUGUAGUUGUUGUUACACUUUUUUUCAAAGCCUCUUCAAUGCCAAAAGCAACAGUUGAAGGUAUAAAUCAUCUAGGAAGCAUUUUCAAAAUGCUCAUGGUUGCUUAAUGCCCCUUAUCAGUCUGAUCUUCUCUGGGCUGGGAUUUUAAAAACUUCCCAAAAGAUUCAAAUUCCCCCUAGCCUGUGCUGUUGAAAGCAAACAGCCUAUAUAAGAAAGUUCAAAUCACGAUAUGACUCUAUCUAUGCCUUUCUAUCUCAUUUCGUUUCUCCUGGGUGAACCCUCUUCUGGUCUACAACAGGUCUGAAACAUCUUGCCCUUUCUUUCCAUUUUUGAUGAGCUUGUUCUCCUAGCUUAUUCCUUUCUACCCUUCCUUUCCAAACCAAGCUGUCAUUUAAGGCUCAGCUCUAGGCCCAAAUUGGCUCUGUUCAACAAGCACUUUGGAGGGCUUAGUAAAAAAUGAGUCACUGUGCUAGAUACUGCUCAAUGAGAAGGUUUGUAGCUACUGCCCCGGAAGAAGAACUUACUACCUGGCAGUGGGAUUUGGGUAAGUACACAGAUUAUUACAAUGCCAGACAGAAUAAUACUAAGUGCCACACAGGUACGAGUUGUAUGAGGUGCAAAGAGGGUAGAAUGAGCUUUAUCCCGAAGUUGCUUUGAUCUGUGUUCACUUUUUCCUGCCUUAAAUUAUUGUUGUACUUAUUUAUAGCACUAAUUUUGGCCCUUAUUUUCUUUUUUAUGCGUGUUUUAUGUGGGUGUACUCUCCUUAAAUAACUCGAAAUCAAAGGCAACUCUUAAAUGAAUUUUGUUUUCCCCCAGGGUAGCCCAAAAUAGUGGGAUACCUGGGUUGCAUGGAAUUGAAUCCCAACGUAGGUGGAUUAUCCAACAGCAUGGAUGAUGGGAAUGCAAUGGCUCCACCAGGGGAAUGAACUUGAAGUGCCCCACACUCUAAAAAAGAGACUUGGGGCGCCUGAGUGGCUCAGUCAGUUAACCGUCCCACUCUUGAUUUCAGCUCAGGUCAUGAUCUUAGGGUCAUGAGAUGAAGCUCUGUGUCGGGCUCUGUGCUGAAUGUGGAGUCUGCUUAAGACUCUCUCACUCCCGUUCUCUCUGCCCCUCCUCCCUCUUGAAAAAUAUAAUAAAACUAAAAAAAAAUAAAAAAAUAAAAAAGAGACUCCACUAAGCCUUUCCAAAUAAACAGUAAGCUAAGUAAAAGCAGAAAGAUUGCUCUGUAAUCUCCAAGACUGGUCUCCCGGUCUUCCUUUCAUCCAAAUUGCUUCACUAGCUUCAGAUGGAGAAAUUCUGAUGCUCUUAAGAGAAUGAGUUUGCCUUUCUAUUUGUUAAUGCUUUCCAUGCAACACCGCCUUUUGACACAGGAUUUGAUGGCUUAGGACCUCACUUAUUUUUACAUCCCUCCUUGUCUCCCUUAUUUUGGUCAGUGUGGCUUCAAGAACCAAAUCAUAUGAUUUCAAAUCUUAACUUUGCCACUAACUUCAGUUUGCAGGUAUAUUUAUCUCUUUGCCUUUGUUUUCUCCUCUAUAUAAUGGGAAUGAUAAUGCUAGUACCUACCUCAUAGGCAUUUUGUGAGUUCAGAGAACUAAAGUGAUUUGACAAUAUCCACGUAACAUAAUAUUUCACAAGUGCUCUCUUGAUCCAGUUUUGGAGUCAGAGCUAGAAAUUCUCCAUUCCUCUUCCAGGUAGUUUGCUAAGCCCCUACCCCAGUUACUUCCCUUGUUAGGCUCUAACACCCCUGGGUUACAGUAUCCAGUAUCCAACUGCCAGAGGCUCCCGGAUACUAACACCCAGGGAUGGCCUGCUCUUUGGGCCCAUGGAAUUAUUCAAAAUACCCAGUCCCUAGAAAGACACAAAACCUAGCUGACAUCACUCUGUUGGCCAUAAGAACUGUCCUUUCGGCUCUGCUGGCUGGCUCAGUCCCAGGUACAAACUGCUGUGUGACUUGCAUGGCAGCCUUCUCUAGUUUGAAGCUGUGACAAAGUUCUGCCUUUUGUCCGAGGGUCACUGUGCUAAGUCUGGCCAUCCAAAGAACCUAUAAUCAUACCUGAUAUCAUAUAAUUAUGAAAUAAAUGGAUACAUGUAAAGCACUCAAUAAAUAUUACUUUUUUUUUUUUUUCAAGAAAAGGGCUUUCUAUAUUCCCAAUUUCUGGAGAUUCUGUGUACACAAAUGAUGCAAGACAAUUCCUUUUAAGAAUUCAAACUAUUGAACCUUUAGAUUGGAGCUAAUCUCAGUAGAAAAGUACCUUUUUGCUUUAAUUUAGUUUUGACUUUACUGUAUUCCAAUAUAUCACCCCAAAAUAGGCCUCUUUGAAGUAAAAAUUAUUUUGAUCUGAAGACAAUUAAAAAGAAGUAAAUGCAGAAAAAGGGCCUCCUUUUCUGCACGAAGGCAGGAAAUAAAUUCUCCUUUUACUGGAAACAGACUUUAUUGGCACCAGAAGAGGUGACAGAGAGGGCACCGGAAGAAUUUGCAAACAAAACUUGUUAAACGAAUCCUUAUUUAAGGAGGACAGGGACCACCUAGUUCUCGUUGGACUGUCCCCAGCCCAAACCCCUUUGUCUUAUCAACUUUUCACCCAUUUAUUGUUUCUUUGUCCUAAAGAUGUAAAAGCUUCCUACUCUGGUCACUUCUCCAGGUUUUAUUCUCUUGUGAAGGCUUCCAUGUACGUGGAGAAAUUCAACAAAAUUUGUGUGCUUUUCUCCUGUUAAUCUGUCUUGGUCACUUUAAUUUCCAGUCCCAGCCAGGGACCUUGAGAAAGUCAAGGAGAAGUUUUUCUUCCUCUACAAUAUCACCAUGGAAAAUACAAUGUAUGCAUCCAAAAUGCAGCUUAGAUAUAAUUUUAAAAAGUAUUAUGGAAAAUUUUACACUUAAACAAAAUCGGAAUAAAAACACAGGUACCGUCACCAACUUCAAUAAUUUGGCCAAUAUUCAUCCAGACCUCAUAUCCUCAUCCCACUUAAGCUACAGACCAUUUUCUAAAAACAUAAUAAUGCCAUUAUAAUAUAUAAAAAAAUUAACAGCAAUUCCUUAAUAUCAUCAACUACUCAGUUUCCGGAUUUCCCCAAUUACCUCCUAGGUUUCUUUCUUUCUUUCUUUCUUUCUUUCUUUCUUUCUUUCUUUCUUUCUUUUCUUUGGAUUGGGAUCCGGACAGAGUCUACUCGGCAUAGACUACAUUUCAUUAAUAUGUGUCUUAAGUCACUUUUAAUGUAUCACUUCCCUUUCAUAUUUUUUUCCUUACAAUUUAUUUGUUAGAGAUACCAGGCUGCUGUCCUGUAGAGUUUCCAUAUUCUCACUUUUGCUGAAUGGAUCUAUGUUGUAUCAGUUAAAAAAAAAAAAAAAGCAUUGUUGAGGUCUCAUUGACAUAAAAUAACCACACAUAUUUAGAGCGUACAGUUUAAAGUGUACAUACAUUUUCACAUAGUAUACACAUAUGAAACCAUCAUCACUCUAAAGAUAAAGAAUCUAUCACGUAGAAAUUUCCCACCUUUCCUUAGUAAUCCCUCCCUCCCACCCCUUCCAACUGUCCCAUCUGGAACAACUAAUCAGUUUUAUGCCACUGUGAUGUUCAUUUUCUAGAAUUCUAUGUAAAUGGAAUCGUGCAGGAUGUAUUCUUUUUAUAUGACUACUAUUACUUAGCGUUCUUUGAGAUCUAUCCCAUGUUCUUUUUUAUAUUGCCAAGUAAUAUUCCAAUGUAUGGAUAGACCAUGAUUUGCUUACUCAUUUACUAUUUGUGGACACUUGUGUUAUUUCCAGUUUGGGGCUAUUCUAAAUAAAAAUUCUGUGAACAUAUGCAUACAAGUCUUUAUGUAGACAUCGGCUUCCAUUUAUCUUGGGAAAAUAAUUAGGGGUAGAAUAGACAAGUUAUGUGAUAGGUAUACGUUUAACUUUUUAGGAAUUUGCAAACUGAUUUUCAAAGUGGUUGUACCAUUUUACAUUUCCACCAGCAGGAUAUGAGUAUUCUAGUUCCUUCAUAUACUAGUCAACACUUGUAUGGUCAGUCUUUAAUUUUAGCCUUUCUAAUAGAUGCAUAGUAGUAUCUCACUGUGGUUUCAAUUUACAUUUUCCUAAUGAAGAAAGAUAUUGAGCAUCUUUUUUUUCUAUUUAUUUUGAUUUUCUAAUAUUUUAUAAUAAUAUAUAUAAUAUAAUAUAAUAAUACAAUAAAUAAUAUAAUAUAAUAAUAUAAAUACUAUUUCUAAUAUUUUCUAUAUUAUUUUCUAUUUAUUAUUCUAUUUAUUUCUAUUUAUUUAUAGAAAUAAGUUUAUUUCUAUUUAUUCAAUUUAUUUAUUUAUUUUAAGAGAGCACGAGCAGGGGAGGGAAAGAGAGAGUGGGGGAGAUAAUCCCAAGCAGGCUCUACACUGUCAGCAUGGAGCUGGAUGUGGAACUUGAACCCACAAACUGUGAGAUCAUGACCUGAACUGAAAUCAAGAGUCGGACACUUAACCUACUGAGUCACCCAAGCGCCCUGAUGUUGAGCAUCUUUUAAUCUUUGGUGAAAUAUCAAAUCUUUUGUUCAUUUUUAAAUUAUUUUUGUUUCCUUGUUACUAAGUUGUUUUUUAAUUGUGAUAAGAUCGCAUAACAUAAGAUCAUCGUUAGCCUGAACUCACUGAGCAUUUUUAUGAUAGUUAUUUUGAAUUCUUUGUGACAUAAUUCAUAUAUCUCCAUUUUAUCAGGGUCAGUUUCUGGAGAUUUAGCUUGUUCCUUUUGGGGGGGGGGCCACAUUUCCCUGUUUUUCUUUGUUUUCCUUGACUCUGUUUUGGUAUCAUCCACCUCUCCCGAUCUUCCUGGACUGGCUUCAUACAGGAGGAGACUGUCACUGUCAGCCCUGCCAGAGAAAUAUGGGGGGUGGCGCUCUCAAAUCUUCUUUGUUUAUAUGCCUUCCCUUCCCUUGUAUGUUUAAAUUCCCAGAGGGACUGGCUGGUUUCUUAUUGCAGGAUUUUAUAAUCCCUUCCUCCCGCUGAUAUCUGUCUGCUAUACCAUAGAUCUUCUGGAGCAGCAGCACACCCAUGACCUUGUCCUCAGUGAUCCCCAGAUGUCUAGAGUAUGCCAGGUCCCAUCCGUGCUCAGAGAUAGGUAAGACUAGAACCAGCUCUCAGGCAGUCACCUAAAAAGUCUGAAUGUUGUGUAUACAUUUCUGUCUUCUCUUUUCCUCAUCAGGGAUAAUCUUGGAGCUGGGGAUCUUCCUGAUUGGGCUGUGCUGAGUCAUGGGUAGGAGCUCUCGUGAGUAAGUAAAUGCCAUUCCAAACCUUUGCCUUUAUCCUCAGCAGCCACCAGUCAUCUAGAGUAUGCUUGGUCUCAUCAACAUUCUUUUUUUUUUAAUGUUUAUUUAUUUAUUUUGAGAGAGAGAGUCCGCACCCACAUGUGUGCAUGAACAGGGGAGGGGAAGAGAGAGGAAGAGAGAGAAUCCAAAGCAGGCUCCAUGCUGUCAGUGCAGAACCUGACCCGGGGCUCGAUCUCACGAAUUGUGAGAUCAUGACCUGAGCCGAAAUCAACAGUCUGGCACUUAACUGAGUGAACCAGGUGCCCCUCAUCAACAUUCUCAGAAGCAAUCAGGUAAGACAGAAGCCAGUCCCUUGGACACUCCUGCAAAAGUUAGAAUGUUGGGUGCAAGGUCCACCUCUUUCCCUCCUCAGGGAGCAAAGCUAGGAUAUGAGGAUUUCUACUCGCUCACAGUACACUGAGCCAGGAGGAUGGUCUAUGGCAAAUGUGUACAUGCUAGUCCAAACUGCUGCCUGCAUGCCAGUCCCAAUAAGGGGCUGCCUCUUUUCUCAGUGGCUCCCAGUCUGGGGCCCUCACCUGUUAGUGCUCAAGUUCAGGUAAGACAGAGACCAGUCUCUUGGGCAGUCUUCAGAAAAGUGAGAAUGUUGGAUGUAUCAUCCAGUCCUUUUCUUCCCUCCCCAGGAACAAGUUGGGAUGAGGGUUUCCUCCCAGCUGGGCAGUGCUGUGCCAGAGGGGAAGGAUGAUGGUGCCUUGAGUUUUCCCACUGGCUUUGAUGUGGAUGUUUUUGCACUUGCUCAUGGUGCAGGAGCCUCUCAUCUGGUUCCUGGAUUUCUCACAAAGGGAAUUGGUCUGUGUAUUAUUGUUGAAUUGAUGAGUCUGUGGGAGGAAGGAAGGUCCAGAGCUUUCUGCCAUCUUGCUGAUGUCACUCAGUAUUAAUUCUUCUUAUUGAGUUUUGAGAGUUCUUUAUAUAUUACAGAUAUAAGACUUUUUACUAGAUAUCUGAUUUGCAAAUAUUAUCUUGAAGUCUAUGGUUUACCUUUUCAUUUUUGUUAACAGUGUCUUGAAAGAGCAGAAGGUCUUAAUUUGUAUGAAGUCCAAUGUUUUCAUCUAUAAAUUUUCUACAUUUAGGUCUACAAUCCUUUUUGAAUUAUUUUUUGUUACACGAUGCAAGAUACUGAUGAAUAUUUUUCCUUCCUCCUUCUUCUUCUACUUCCCCUACCCUUUACCCCUCCCUCAUUUGUUCAUUUCUUUUUUGUCCAACCCCUUCAGUGUAGUUAUGCCAUUCACCCGUGAUACAUUUAAAUAGUUUUAUUGUUGUUGUUAUCCUGGUUUUAAUAUGGUCUCCCUCCUCAAUCCUGGUUGAUUUAAAUUAUAUGUAUUCUCUGAGUAGAUGAAACACUAACAUGGUUCUCAAAUUCAGAAAACAAAGUUACACCCACAGAAGUGUCACAUCUCCCCUCCCCUCUCUUCUACCUGCUCCAAUUCCCACAUUUUUUAUAGCCCAUUCCCAUACACUCCCUAUAGAGAACCAAUCUUCGAAGGUUUUGGUUUAUGCUUCCUGUUUCUUUUUCACAAAUAAGCUGAUAUAUGUAUAUUUUAUUUUUCUUUCUUUUUAACGGAAAGCUAUCAUACUAAAUACUCUUUUACACGUUGCUAUUUUCACUUAAAAAUGCAUCCACAACUGUUCAUAGAGACCAUCAUUUCUUACAGCAUUUUCUGGAUGACCACAAUUUAUUCCACAGUUUCCAGCAUGUGGGCAUUUAGGUUGUUUCCAGUGUUUUUGCAAUUACAAACAACACUGCAGUGUGCAUAUGUAUUGGAGGUGUAUCUUCAAUGGAAAAUUGUUGGAGGUGUAUCUUCAAUGUAAAUUCCUAGCGGUGGGAUUGCUGGGUCAAAAAGUAAGUUCACAUGUAGUUUUGUUAUCCUAACUUGUGUGCCAGGGCCUCCUCUAAGAGGGUGUACCAGUUUGUAUUUCCACCGCCCAAUAAGAGAAUGCCUCCUUCCACAAAGUCUUGUCAACAGAAUAGGUGACAAUCUGAUAGUAUUUUUUUUUUUGCCCUACAAAAUUUUGUAUCUUUGCAUAGUCACAUUUAUAAAUAUUUAAUUUAUUGCCUCUGGAUUUUGAUCAUUUAAUAAUUUUUAUAACUUCAAAGCUUUCCCUACAGUAAUGUUAUUUUCUUUCUUUGCUCUUUUUUUCUUUUAGAGAGAGAGGGAGAAAGGGAGUGCAUGAGUGGGGGCUGGGGGCAGAGGGAGAGGGAAAGGGAGAGAGAAAAUCCCAAGCAGGCUCCAUGCUCAGUGUGGAGCCCUCCCUUAUACUAAUGUUAAAAAAAUCAUUUGUGUUUUAUUCUAAUACUUGUAUGGCUUCCUUUUUUACUUUUAUUUUCCUAUUACAUUUGAAGCUUAUUCUUGUGUACCUCAUUAGGCAGGGAUAUAAUUUUAUUUUUUUCCCAAAUGGUCAAACAGUUGUCCCAGCAUCAUUUAUUACCCAGUGGUAAUAAAUGGUCCAUCUUUAUCAUACACUAAUUUCUAUGUGUACUUGAGUUUAUUCUAUUCCAUUGGUCCAUCUAUCUAUUUAUGUUCCAAUCCCCACACUUGAAAUUAUAGAGCCUUUACACUGUAUUUUAAUAUUUGGUUGAGCUAGCCCCCUUCGUUUUUGUUCCUUUUUAUGUUUCCCUAUCUAUUCUUGCAUGUUUAUUUUUUUCAUAUGAACUUUAGUAAAAACUUAUCUAACUCCAUAAAACUUUUGUUGAUAUUUUAUUGAAAUUGUGUUCAUUUUAUGUUAGUUUAGGAAGGACUAAUUUCCUUAUGAUGUUGAGUCAUCUUAUCCAAGAUCAUUGUUUCCAAUACUUUUUACCAUCUCAGUAGCAAGUCGUAUUGACACUCUCAUUCACUAAACACUUACUGUACAUUUAACAUGCGUCAGGUACUGUGCUAGGCAUUGGAGAUGUGGUGAGUAAAAUAGUUUUAGAUUUUACAUAAAUAGAUGAAUGAAAGCACAUGGGUCUCCAUUAGAAUUAAACUAUACAUGUCAGAAUAACUAAGUCUUUAGUUCUGUGCUGUUUAAUCUGGUGAAGGUUUGCUAUGGUUCUAUUUUAUUUCACACUUUUCUAAACUAACCUCUUUGCAUUAUAAUGGUUUGCUUUGAAAAGGACUGAACUGGCAUCACUGGGUUACAGAAGCUUUAAGAGGACAACCUUGCAUCACAGUGGACCUACUUAGGCAUUCUUAAUGGCAUCACAAUUACCAGUUUAACCCAGCUGACUACCUGCAUGAAUCCAGCUAUCUGUCUGUCUGUGCUUCCGUUCCACCAUCUGAGCCUCUAAUGGAGGAAACCAAUCAGGCGAAAAGCUUGGUGACAUUAGGCGUUCAUAAAUCUCAACCCAGAAUGAACCCUCAUCUCUGCCUAGCCAUGCUAUUGUUUCUUUGGUCAGUUUGCUUUCUCCCUUCCACAAAGAUUACUUCAAACUCCCUUUACUCUCUUCCCUCUAACGACUUUACAUAAGCAUCUGGAUUUCCACCCAUCUCUGUUCUAGCCUGUUACAGUAAAGGAGUGUUUCCUCCCAUUUAGCUAAGAUCAAUCUCUCCAACAGUGUCUGAUCCUCCCGUCUUCUUUCCCUUUCACUCCUAACUCAGCCUCAUGCUGUCACCUAUUUAUUCCCUCUUCCCUGUCUGUGGCCUCUCGAUUCUUUUGCAAAACAAACAAACCUCCUGAAACCCGUCAUUAAAAACAAAGCCAACAAAAUCCUUCAUCUUAUUUCCCUUCUAACAAUGGCCAUAUGUCUCUCCUCCUCUUCACAGCCUAAUUUCUUAAGUCAGAUGAUUUUGUAAGAGUAAAUAGAGACAAUCCUCAUGGAUGCAGAAGGGUACAGUUAUUGAGAAGUGAAAGAGCUUGAAGAAAACAUGGAGAUAGCUGUAGACUUCCACAGGGUACCUGGGCUGUGUGGCUAGAUUUAAUCUGAGGGGCCGUAGGUAUGCUUGCCUGUGGUGAACUAGGCAAUAUGAACAAUAUGGCAUAAGUGUGGGUCUGGAAUCAGUUUCUUUGCUUGAACAUUUUAAAUGACAACAUUUACUUUGCAGCAUUGUUGUGGGGAUUAAAUGAGCUAAUGGGUAUAAAGCUACUUACCAUGGUACAUGCCCAGUAAAUUUUACCUAUCAUUAUAUUUGUAAUUGUAAUUAUGUUGCCAGAUGGGCAGAUGUGUGCAACCAAAUUUGAAAGCCUACAUAUUCAAUACAGAAAUAAAUAUCAAGUCACACAGCUGUCUUUGAACUACAUGUGGGCUAGUGUUUUAGACAUUCAUUCCUUUAUUCACAAAGGAACAUGCAUCAGAAACUUUGCUAGGUGUUAGGGAUUACAAAGAAGAAUAAGACAAAAUCUGCUUUCAAUGAUCUCUCAGGGCAGUCAAGGCAUAAGCAUGUAACUAUAGUGUGGUAAGUGCAGUGAUUGAUCAACACAAGGUAUUUUGGGAGUUGAAAGAAGGAAGCGUACAGCCUGGGGUGAGGUACAUCAAGUCUGGAGCUGGUUCUUAAAGUGAGUAGAUAGAUGUGAGCAGAAGAAAGAGAGGAGGAAAGCAGGGAAAAGAUUUUAAAGUCCCUCUGUCUAUGCAGUUCAACUCAAAGACUCUGGAAUUUCAUGUGUUGCUUAAUUUUAAAAAAUUUUACUACUAAAAAGUUAUUUGUAACUCAUUGGCCUAUUUGAAUGAUAUGUAAAGAACAAGGUAUUACACGAUAAUAGGAGGAUGAGUCAAAACUUUAUUGCUUUGGGAGUGGAACAUACCAGGAAUUGCUGUAGGCAGAGUGAUACAACAUAUUUUGAGGAACCCGAUGGCUGGGAGCCCAGAUAUGCUACUACCACUGAUGGAAUUGCCUAGAUGAUGUCACCAUGGUUUUCAGCUUUAAUGGUGCAGAAACUUGAUUGUCAGCUAAUAAGAGAUGACCAAUCUCUUGAGGCCUAAUUCAAUUUAAAAAUAAGAGAUGGGGCAUCUGGGUGGUUCAGUUGUUUGAGUGUCUGACUUUGGCUCAGGUCAUGACCUCAGUUCAUGAGUUCGAGUCCCGCGUCAGGCUCUGUGCUGACAGCUCAGAACCUGGAGCCUGCUUCAGAUUCUGUGUCUCCCUCUCUCUGCCCCUUCCCUGCUCAUGCUGUCUCUCUCUGUCUCUCAAAAAUCAGCUUUAAAAAAAUUAAUAAAAAAAUAAGAGAUAAAUUUAUAAGCUACAAUGUAUUCACUAACAAUAAGAAAUAUGAAAUUUGCACGAAUUGAAAUACUCACCCUGUCAUGAGUGGUACAUUUCCUUCAUACAGACAUGCUAAAUACUUGUCUCCUGGGAUCCUGAAAUCAGAACAAAAGGAGUUAGCUAGUGGGCAUCUGUCUGGUUCACACAAGCAGCAAGGGAAAAAAAGUCCCUAACCUACAAGGGAAGACAGAUCAGGUUUACAGCAGACCUAUCCACAGAAACUUGGCAGGCCAGAAAGGAGUGGCAGGAUAUAUUCAAUGUGCUGAAUCAGAAAAAUAUGCAGCCAAGAAUUCUUUAUCCAGCAAGGCUUUCAUUCAAAAUAGAAGGAGACAUAAAAAGUUUCUCAGACAAACAAAAAUUAAAGGAGUUUGUGACCACUAAACCAGCCCUGCAAGAAAUUUUAAGGGGGACUCAAUGAGGGGAGAAAAAAAUGAAAAUAAAUAAAUAAAUAAAUAAAUANNNNNNNNNNNNNNNNNNNNNNNNNNNNNNNNNNNNNNNNNNNNNNNNNNNNNNNNNNNNNNNNNNNNNNNNNNNNNNNNNNNNNNNNNNNNNNNNNNNNNNNNNNNNNNNNNNNNNNNNNNNNNNNNNNNNNNNNNNNNNNNNNNNNNNNNNNNNNNNNNNNNNNNNNNNNNNNNNNNNNNNNNNNNNNNNNNNNNNNNNNNNNNNNNNNNNNNNNAAUAGUAGGAGACUUCAACACCCCACUCACAGCAAUGGACAGAUCAUCUAAUCAAAAAAUCAACAAGGAAACAAUGGCUUUGAAUGACACACUGGAUCAGAUGGACUUAACAGAUAUAUUCAGAACAUUUCAUCCUAAAGCAGCAGAAUACACUUUCUUCUCCAGUGCACAUGGAAGGUUCUCCAGAAUAGACCAUAUACUGGGACACAAAUCAGCCCUAAUAAGUACAAAAACACCGAGAUCAUACCAUGCAUAUUUUCAGAUCACAACGCUAUGAAACUCGAAAUCAACCGCAAGAAAAAAUUUCGAAAGGUAACAAAUACUUGGAGACUGAAGAACAUCCUACUAAAGAACGAACGGGCUAACCACGCAGUUAAAGAAGAAAUUAAAAAGUAUAUGGAAGUCAAUGAAAAUGAUAACACCACAACCCAAAACCUCUGGGACACAGCAAAGUUGGUCAUAAGAAGAAAGUAUAUAGCAAUCCAGGCCUUCCUAAGGAAGGAAGAAAGAUCUCAGGUACACAACGUAACCUUACACCUUAAGGAACUGGAAAAAGAACAGCAAAUAAAACCGCAAAUCAGCAGAAGACAGGAAAUAAUAAAGAUUAGAGCAGAAAUUAAUGCUAUUAAAACCAAAAAAACAGUAGAACAGAUCAAUGAAACCAGAAGCUGGUUCUUUGAAAGAAUUAACAAAAUUGAUAAAGCACUAGCCAGUCUGAUCAAAAAGAAAAAGGAAAGGACCCAAAUAAAUAAAAUCAAGAAUGAAAGAGGAGAGAUCACAACCAACACAGCAGAAAUAAAAACAAUAAUAAGAGAAUAUUAUGAACAAUUAUAUGCUAAUAAAAUGGGCAAUCUGGAAGAAAUGGACAAAUUCCUAGAAACAUAUACACUACUAAAACUGAAACAGGAAGAAAUAGAAAAUUUGAACAGACCCAUAACUAGUAAGGAAAUUCAAUUAGUUAUCAAAAAUCUCAGAAAAAACAGAGUCCAGGGCCAGAUAGCUUUCCAGGGAAAUUCUGCCGAAGGAAUUCUACUUUAAGGAAGAGUUAACACCUAUUCUCUUGAAGGUGUUUCAAAAAUUAGAAAUGGAAGGAAAACUUCCAAACUCUUUCUAUGAAGCCAACAUUACUUUGAUUCUAAAACCAGACAGAGACCCCACUAAAAAGUAGAACUAUAGACCAAUUUCCCUGAUGAACAUGGAUGCAAAAAUCCUCAACAAGAUAUUAGCCAACCGGAUCCAACAAUACAUUAAAAAAAUUAUUCACCACGACCAAGUGGGAUUUAUACCUGGAAUGCAGGGCUGGUUCAAUAUCUGCAAAACAAUUAAUGUGAUUCAUCACAUCAGUAAAGAAAGGACAAGAACCACAUGAUCCUCUCAAUAGAUGCAGAGAAAACAUUUGACAAAAUACAGCAUCCUUUCUUGAUACAAACCCUCAAGAAAGUAGGGAGAGAAGGAUCAUACCUCGAGAUCAUAAAAGCCAUAUAUGAAUGACCCAAUGCUAAUAUCAUCCUCAAUGGGGAAAAACUGAGAGCUUUCCCCCUAAGGUCAGGAACAAGACAGGGAUGUCCACUCUCNGCCUUAAGGAGCUGGAAAAAGAACAGCAAAUAAAACCCAAAACCAGCAGAAGACAGGAAAUAAUAAAGAUUAGAGCAGAAAUUAAUGCUAUCGAAACCAAAAAAACAGUAGAACAGAUCAAUGAAACCAGAAGCUGGUUCUUUGAAAGAAUUAACAAAAUUGAUAAACCACUAGCCAGUUUGAUCAAAAAGAAAAAGGAAAGGACCCAAAUAAAUAAAAUCAAGAAUGAAAGAGGAGAGAUCACAACCAACACAGCAGAAAUAAAAACAAUAAUAAGAGAAUAUUAUGAGCAAUUAUAUGCCAAUAAAAUGGGCAAUCUGGAAGAAAUGGACAAAUUCCUAGAAACAUAUACACUACCAAAACUGAAACAGGAAGAAAUAGAAAAUUUGAACAGACCCAUAACCAGUAAGGAAAUCGAAUUAGUAAUCAAAAAUCUGCCAAAAAACAAGAGUCCAGGGCCAGAUGGCUUUCCAGGGGAAUUCUACCAAACAUUUAAGGAAGAGUUAACACCUAUUCUCUUGAAGCUGUUCCAAAAAAUAGAAAUGGAAGGAAAACUUCCAAACUCUUUCUAUGAAGCCAGCAUUACCUUGAUUCCAAAACCAGACAGAGACCCCACUAAAAAGGAGAACUACAGACCAAUUUCCCUGAUGAACAUGGAUGCAAAAAUCCUCAACAAGAUAUUAGCCAACCGGAUCCAACAAUACAUUAAAAAAGUUAUUCACCAUGACCAAGUGGAAUUUAUACCUGGAAUGCAGGGCUGGUUCAAUAUCUGCAAAACAAUUAAUGUGAUUCAUCACAUCAAUAAAAGAAAGGACAAGAACCAUAUGAUCCUCUCAAUAGAUGCAGAGAAAGCAUUUGACAAAAUACAGCAUCCUUUCUUGAUAAAAACCCUCAAGAAAGUAGGGAUAGAAGGANNNNNNNNNNNNNNNNNNNNNNNNNNNNNNNNNNNNNNNNNNNNNNNNNNNNNNNNNNNNNNNNNNNNNNNNNNNNNNNNNNNNNNNNNNNNNNNNNNNNNNNNNNNNNNNNNNNNNNNNNNNNNNNNNNNNNNNNNNNNNNNNNNNNNNNNNNNNNNNNNNNNNNNNNNNNNNNNNNNNNNNNNNNNNNNNNNNNNNNNNNNNNNNNNNNNNNNNNNNNNNNNNNNNNNNNNNNNNNNNNNNNNNNNNNNNNNNNNNNNNNNNNNNNNNNNNNNNNNNNNNNNNNNNNNNNNNNNNNNNNNNNNNNNNNNNNNNNNNNNNNNNNNNNNNNNNNNNNNNNNNNNNNNNNNNNNNNNNNNNNNNNNNNNNNNNNNNNNNNNNNNNNNNNNNNNNNNNNNNNNNNNNNNNNNNNNNNNNNNNNNNNNNNNNNNNNNNNNNNNNNNNNNNNNNNNNNNNNNNNNNNNNNNNNNNNNNNNNNNNNNNNNNNNNNNNNNNNNNNNNNNNNNNNNNNNNNNNNNNNNNNNNNNNNNNNNNNNNNNNNNNNNNNNNNNNNNNNNNNNNNNNNNNNNNNNNNNNNNNNNNNNNNNNNNNNNNNNNNNNNNNNNNNNNNNNNNNNNNNNNNNNNNNNNNNNNNNNNNNNNNNNNNNNNNNNNNNNNNNNNNNNNNNNNNNNNNNNNNNNNNNNNNNNNNNNNNNNNNNNNNNNNNNNNNNNNNNNNNAACAGACACUCAGAUCAAUGGAACAGAAUAGAGAACCCAGAAAUGGACCCACAAACGUAUGGCCAACUAAUCUUUGACAAAGCAGGAAAGAAUAUCCAAUGGAAUAAAGACAGUCUCUUCAGCAAGUGGUGCUGGGAAAACUGGACAGCGACAUGCAGAAGAAUGAACCUGGACCACUUUCUUACACCAUACACAAAAAUAAACUCAAAAUGGAUGAAAGACCUAAAUGUAAGACAGGAAGCCAUCAAAAUCCUCGAGGAGAAAGCAGGCAAAAACCUCUUUGACCUUGGCCACAGCAACUUCUUACUCAACACGUCUCUGGAGGCCAGGGAUACAAAAGCAAAAAUCUACUGGAACCUCGUCAAAAUAAAAAGCUUCUGCACAGCAAAGGAAACAAUCAGCAAAACUAAAAGGCAACUGACAGAAUGGGAGAAGAUAUUUUCAAAUGACAUAUCAGAUAAAGGGUUAGUUUCCAAAAUCUAUAAAGAACUUAUCAAACUCAACACCCAAAAAACAAAUAAUCCAGUGAAGAAAUGAACAAAAACAUAAAUAGACAAUUCUCCAAGGAAGACAUCCAGAUAGCCAACCAACACAUGAAAAAAUGCUCAACAUCACUCAUCAUCAGGAAAAUACAAAUCAAAACCACAAUGAGAUACCACCUCACCCCUGUCAGAAUGGCUAACAUUAACAACUCAGGAACAACAGAUGUUGGCAAGGAUGUGGAGAAAGAGGAUCUCUUUUGCAUUGCUGGUGGCAAUGCAAGCUGGUGCAGCCCCUCUGGAAAAUAGUAUGGAGUUUCCUCAAAAAACUAAAAAUAGAACUACCCCACAACCCAGGAAUUGCACUACUAGGCAUUUAUCCACGGGAAACAGGCGUGCUGUUUUGAAGGGACACAUGUACCCCCAUGUUUAUAGCAGCACUAUCAACAAUAGCCAAAGUAUGGAAAGAGCCCAAAUGUCCACUGAUGGAUGAAUGGAUAAAGAAGAUGUGGUAUAUAUGUACAAUGGAGUAUUACUCGGCAAUCAAAAAGAAUGAAAUCUUGCCAUUUGCAACUACGUGGAUGGAACUGGAGGGUAUUAUGUUAAGUGAAAUCUGUCAAUCAAAGACAAAAAUCAUAUGAACUCACUCAUAUGAGGACUUUAAGAGACAAAAGAGAUGAACAUAAGGGAAGGGAAACAAAAAUAAUAUAAAAACAGGGAGGGUGACAAAACAGAAGAGACUCAUAAAUAUGGGGAACAAACAGAGGUUUACUGGAAGGGUUGUGGGAGGGGGGAUGGGUAAAGGGCUCCUUAAUGGGUAAGGGGCACUAAGGAAUCUACUCCUGAAAUCAUUGUUGUACUAUAUGCUAAUUUGGAUGUAAAUUUUAAAAAAUUAAAAAAUUAAAAUAAUAAAAAAAUAAAAAACAAAAGAAGAAAAAAAUGAAUAAACAUUUAAAAAUUAAUAAAAAAAUAAGAGAUAAAUUUAUAAGCUACAAUGCAUUCACUAACAAUAAGAAAUAUGAAAUUUGCACGAACUGAAAUACUCACCCUGUCAUGAGUGGUACAUUUCCUUCAUACAGACAUGCUAAAUACUUGUCUCCUGAGAUCCUGAAAUCAGAACAAAAGGAGUUAGCUAGUGGGCACCUGUCUGGUUCACAUAAGGGUCUGAGCAACAUGAGCUCAAUUUCCUGUUCUGAUUGUUCAAAAACUUAGUCUAUUUGGUUUCAUAUGUUCACAAAUUCUCACUGUUGGUUAUUUGAAAGAUGAGAUCUGGACACAGAAGCAGGUCUUAGGCUGAUAAGUGUGUGGUGAGAAUGCAUUCUGGAAUAGGCACAAACAGUGCAUAUUCAGGCAGUGCCAUGAACUGAAGUCAUGCUAAGGCUUCAGGGGAAAGAAAUUACCAUGGGAGAGCACACGUGCUAAAUAAUCAGUGCACUAUUGGGGCACCUGGGUGGUUCAGUUGGUUAACACCCCACUCUUGACUUCAGCUCAGGUCACGAUCCCACGGUCGGUUUGUGAGUUUGAGCCCCAUAUCAGGCUCUGCACUGGCAGUGUGGAGCCUGCUUGGGAUUCUCUCUCUCUCUCUCUCUCUCUCUGUGCCUUCCCAGCUCAUGCUCUCUUUGUCUCUCAAAAUAAAUAAAUAAACAUUUAAAUAAAUAAAUAAAUAAAUAAAUAGUGCGCUGUGGCUAUGAGAGUGGAAUAUCUCUGAAUCUGUGAGAGCCAGAUAAAUUAUAUUAACAUAAAUUCAGAGUAUUAUUCAUAUUAUCCACUUACAUAAAAUAAUUAGGUAUAUAUGCAUAGAAACAAGGUAUUAAAGUAUACAUAAAACAUUAUGAGUGGCUUUCCUAUAUAAAGAAACUUCUAUGGAAACAUGAGUGUUCUUUCUUUUCUUUGUGCCUUAUCUAUGAUUUCAAAAUUAUCCCAAACAAAGAUGAGCUACUUAUGCAAUCAGGUAGCUACUACCUUAUUGAUAGAAAAAGUUAAUUAAAAAUUAGUUAGAAUUAGUUACAAAAUUCAUUAAAAAUUAGUUAGAAAAAAGACUGAAGGUCUUCCAUACUCCCUAGAACAACAGUUAUUGGUAUAGCUUGGAUGACAUUUGAUAUCAACAAGUUAAGACCACAGGAAACACUGUGGAGGAGAGUGGAAAGGGGGACCACUCAGAAGAGUAUAAGAAGGGCAAUGGUGCUGAGGAAUUUGGGCUAAAAACUGGAAGGGACUAUUUUUAGUAGAGGAAUUUUAAGUGCCCCUCCCACUGGCACAGCCAGCACCAAAAAUAUUUAUCUUGCAUGGGAUGAUCAUAAUGUGGGCAUGAAUGAUCAGAGGAGCAAGUGCCAAUAUAAUCAAUCUCUCAUCGGUUAGGAACUCCGGCAGCUGGUCCCAGACUCCUUUGGCGGUUGCCUUGGACACUGUGUAGAACACACAGGACAUGCUGUUGCUGCAUUAAACCAACUCACUUUAUUUCAAGGGCAAUCCAGAGUCCAUAGCAACAUGUCAUCCUGCCUGGGUGCAAUGGCGGCCAGUCUUUCUGUGCACCCAAUCUCCUGUAUCUACGGAAGGGUCAGUUGCUAGGGCUCUAUGGCGGUAUAUCGGGGUUCUACCCCCUUCUUGUGCUAGGACCAAAAUUCCAGGGGCACUCUGUCUUUCUGUUGUCUCUGUCACAGUGCCUGACCCAGCCCUUCUGGAGUCACAGACACAUCGAACUCAAAUGCUGGCCCUGCUUUGGAGAUGCCCAGAGCUUUCAUCUGCUUCACUAGUACUUUUGUCUUCUUAAAGGUGCUGGCUGCUUUGAUUCCCUUUCUUUUCUAGGCAGGAUAAGGAAUAGAGGCACUGUGUCAAGUGGGGAAUGAACGUUCUCUACAACCACCAAAUCCCUACAAAGGCUUGUACUUCUUUCACACUUAAAGGGAUUGGAUGGGCUAACAACCUAGCGAUCACAGCUUCCGAGACAACACGUGUCUUACCUGACCAAAUGACUCCCAAGACUUUAUGGUAGUGCCUGGGCCUUGAAUUUUCUGUAGGUUCACUGUCUAUUCUCUCCCUUGUAAGUGUAUCACCUGCAAGGUGUCCUGCAACAAGCAUAUCUUUGCACGUUAAUAUUAUAUCGUCAAUGUCAUGGGCCCAUUGUACUGAUGAGGGGAAGGAGAAUAGCGACAGACCUUGGGCUACUUGGAGAAGCCCUUGAAAGGUCCAUUGUUGCUCCCUGCCACCCCCCCCCCCCCCCACUGCCAUGUGAAGGCAGAUUAAUCUUGUGACUCAGGUGCCAGGGGGUUUCUGAAAAAGACAUUUGCUAAGUGCAGCAUAGCAUGAUACACUCUAGGACCCUGGCCAAGGUAUCUACGAUGGUGGCGAUGUUGGGAACAGCUGCAUGGAUGGGGGGCACUAUUUUGUUCAAUUCUCAGUAUUCCGCUGUCAUCUGCCAUGAAGCUUACUUACAGAUCUUACUGGGCUAUGGAAAGCAUGAUGGGCAGGAAGUAUGAUACCCACUCUGAGCAGUUCCUGGAUAAGUUUCUCUUAUCUCCUUAUGCCCCCAGGGAACUUAUAUUGUUUGACUGUUACCACCCCUUAUGGGGGUGGCAGGCUUACCAGUUCCCAGCUGGCAUUUCCUGUCAGCACUUAUUUGAUUACUGUAACUACAGGUGGAAUUCAGCAAUACAGGUUUGCAGAUUGACUUUGGAGGGUAUGAAUGCCCAAUAUGUUCUCUGGUAUUGGGGAGGUAAAAAUAUCAUGUUCUUGGGCAGGGGUGGAGAACACCCAAUUGCAGUGUCAAAAAGACCUUUCUGACCAUAACUAUUUGCUCUCCUUAAUUAUCAAUGGUGUGAGGGGCCAGGAAACUUCUGAUGGUUACCAUGUAUUAGAGUACAUUCAGCUCCAGGGUCUACCAGAGUUUACCCUUUGUUUAUUUCUGGAGGACCAGUGAAUAGUGAGCUCUAUACGAGGCUUCUGGUCACCUCUACUGACCCUCACCUGGAGGUAAUCUUGGCUUGCAUCCUAUGCCCAGGGCAUUGGGAGGCACCCACCGUAAAUAAGACUGUAUUCCUAAGGCCUCUGUUGGAGCAGGUGGGGCAUCAGGGAUGGUAGAGGCAGAUGGGGCAGGUCUGAAUUGUUCAGGCUUUAAGGCUUCCCAUACGACAACCAACACAGCAUUGGGCUGUUGGUCUAUCUGUUCAGAUGGGAUCCCCGCAGCAGUGAGGUCAAACCACAUUUCAUUCAGGUUACUUUCAUAGGAUCCUUUACAGCCUUUUGGCUCUUCCAGCUCCCUCUCUGUUUCGGGUCUUUUCCACAUCCCAUCCUCAUUCCUGGCAUUUGUCAGUCCCCUUCAGAUCAGCAAUGAAUCAGCCAACAUCAUAAACGUCUGUCCCACGACUGGGCUCAGCACGGACAUCAACAUCCCAUACCGGGUGCUAGAGCAGACUAGAGAAUCUUAGUUUUCAUUCCUGCAAUGCAUGUGGGCCUGAUUAGGGCCUUCAAAGACAGGGGCAUAGAUGAUGGUCUGUUUCAUUUCCAAUUCUCUAAGAAUUUUCUUUUCUUUUUCUUUUUCAACAGAUCCUGCCUCAGGUUUAUUUGUGCAACUAGCACAGAAAGAUACCAGCCCCUGCAGAUAGAAGCCCAGGGUAACACCAGUCUUCUGUCCUCACAUUGGCAGACAGAAACCUCCAUAUUAGAGCCUUUAUUAGGGACCCGGCACCUCCAGCCACAUCUGGGGCCAGAGCCACAACCUGGGCCUUGGUUUGAAUCUUGGCCUUGGCCUUUGGUUGGCAGAGCCUGAGACACUUGGCAUUACGGGCAUGAGCACAUUUCCAGAGCAUGGGGUGAGUGAUGUAAGCAAGUUGAUUGAGCUUGCGGCUGCCAACCUUUGGGAUCACGGACUUGUCAAGGGCAUUGAUAGCCUCAGCACAUACAGCCAUGGCCUUGGCAUUACUGGCCUCCAUCUCCUUUAGCCCUUCUUGUUGUGCUUUCUGGCAAAGCACGUGUUCCUCAGGAACUUGGGGUCCACCCCCUUAAGAGAUUCAUAUCUUUGGGGCACCUAGGUGGCUCAGUUGGUUAAAUGUUCGAGAUUGGCUCAGGUCAUGAUCUCGUGGUCUGUGAGUUCGAGCCCCACUUUGGGCUCUGUGCUGA